rnacentral:rRNA from 1 species
AUGGUUAGACUGAAAGAGUCAACCAGCAAAUUGAAUGCUACCUCAGAAGUUUUAUCAGUUCUCACCCCUCCAAAUGGAGCAAAUGAUUGUCCCUGUGUGAGUUUUGGUAUAAUAAAAAUUGGCAUUCAGCUAUGGGCAAGUCUCCCUUUGAGGUACUUUAUGGGCACCCUCCUAGAUACUUUGGGAUUGCUACUAGUGAUAUUGUUGCCCAUGUGGAUAUUAUUCAGUGGCUGCAAGACAGGGAGGUUGUGGUAG